AGCUGAAGAGGUAGUUUAGUGGUGUAAGCACCACGUUUGAAACACCUAGACUCUCUGGAACCGAUGGCUUAAAUCUCAGCAGGGUUGACUCAGCCCUUCAGCUCCUCAGGCAGACACCGAGUUUCAUGUGUCUACCAUGCAGAAAGAGUCUAUUUUCUUCUCAACCAAAGGAAAACUACCAGUGUUUCACCUCACUAAGAUGUAGAGAUUAACCCUAAAUGAAGGGGCCACAGCUCUUCUCGCUGUGUGUCUAUGCAGACAGGGCAGACAUAGGCUCACUGCUCAGCCUUCCUCAGGCAGACACAGUCACUAUGGUUGCCACCCUGUCACCUGGGGCUAUUGCCAGGCUCACUUCCAGAAAUGUGUACAGCUGGUACAGGUGGUAGUUACACCCACCCUUCACCUGACACACUGGUCACUCCCAUGUCUGUUUUCUGUGAUGAUGUAGGCAAAUCACAACAGAUUCCCCUCAGCAAGCUAAGAAUAUUUCCAAGCUAUUCUGCAAGAUAUACACCAGUCACUUUUGUCUCCUUAGAUUGUGUAUGGAAAGAAGACAAUCUGUGGGAGCAGUUUUAGACUCCUCUCUUCCUAUGAAGUGAUUCACCAUCAGGAGGUGCCUGUUUUUCUCAACAGCUAUCAAGGAAGCAUAAGGCUAGGAGCCUUGUCCUGAUCCAGACCAUACAUCUAACUUUCAAGCUCCUCAACCAGAAGAGAUGAACUUUACUGAAACUUUUCCUAAAAGUGUAAGAAGUAUUGAAAUUAAUCAAAAUAUGCACUUAAAAAAAAAACCAACAAAAAAAAAGAAGUUUUUUGAAUAGAGUACGUCUAAAUUUCCUUACUGAUAUGUUCCUCAUGUCUGUGAAGACACCUUACGGCUGCAUUGUUCUGGCAGAGGGUGAUGGCAUCCAGUAAGGAUCCAGCGGCUGAUUGCUCCUGAGAAGCAAGUCAGUGAGUGCAAGCCCUGCUAGGAAGUGUGAUGAGGAUUUUCUAAGACAAGCUCCUUCCUCAGCUGGAGACAGAGUAGGGCUUGGAGAAGACAUGAUGUGACUUGUUCCCAAGAAGAGCUGAGGAAGCUGUCCAAGAGGAUUCUGUGGGAAAGGCCCAAGGGGGAUCAGGAAGGCACAGAAGACGUAAGCAUUUGUCUGGAUCAUGGUCUGUCAGGAGCUUGAGGAUUAAGGGAUGUGCAGAGUAAGCAGGAGAAGUAAAAUGCCUGAGCUAUAUGAGACAAUCUUCAAUCAGUCCUUCUGUAUGAGGACUAGGAGAGCAUGGCAGCACCCCAUCCCUUCCUUAGCCUAUCUAAAGAAAAACCCAGGGCUAUGUGAGCAAAGGUCUACCUAUUUUAGAGAGG